GCCAUAUUAGCAAGGUGCUAAAAUUUCAAUUGGUGCCAAUGUCAAUGGUUUAAUUGUUUCUGUGGAUGUUCCAAAAUGGAUUAUUGUUGAUUGAUAGAACUGGGAUACAACAGUGGAAAACUAUGGCCUUAAAGACUUUCACCACGCUGUUGCUACUUCUCGCUGCUGCAGUUGUCUACAGUACUUUCGCACAAGAAACUGGAGAGGGCGCUACUUAUUUAGAUCCCAUUGGACCCAAAUUGCCUGACGAGCAUACGAUGAAAGAAACUGUCGCAUGCACAGUAAAUGGUCAAAACUGUCAGUGUUAUCCCAGAACAAAUAUUAUAUACAGCUGCUAAAAGGACGUAAUCAUUUCGGUAUAGCAGGAAGCGAACGGACCGCCUGCGUGGAAAACUAUUAGAUUGGGGAAUCUGAAGGUGACACUACAUUUCCUCCGGUGACAAUAGCUCCGGUCUUUCUUUCGUCUAAAAUAGGGUUAUGAUUAGGUUUCCUGUAAAGUUCCUAUAGGUUUAUGGUUCGGUUUAAUAAUAACAAUAAUAAUAAUGUACAUUUAUAUAUCGCUUAUCGCAAUAGCAUAGAAUAGCAUAGAGUAUAUUAUUAAAUCCAGUGUUGAAGUUGGUAAUUCGAUUGAUAUGUGGACUUUGCAGCUGAGCAAUUGUCGUCGGAGCAAACGUCAUGGAACCAAUCUGGACGUGAAAUCAUCUGCGCAGGAAAAUCUCUAUUCAAUACCUAUGGGGUUAGAAUAGGAUAUGGUGGUAACACACCGGUUUGAUAAACGUAAGAGUGGAGCGUUGUGGCCCAGUGGAUUAGUCUUCGGACUUUGAAACAGAGGGUCGUGGGUUCC